rnacentral:lncRNA from 1 species
GUACUAUGAAUAUAUUUCAUACUGCUGUACUGUCCAGUUAUAAUAGCUAAGAUAGUUAAUUAGCUUUCAUGUGCAUUUUAUCAUAAUUUUUAAAAGGUGCAGAAGAAGUUUUAUCUAUCUUGUCUAUCAGGUCCUAGAACUGACUUACAACCUUGCAACUGCAAUAUUAUCCUAAAAUAAAAAAGGCUGAACAAUAAAUACACAGCUCUGAAAACAGACCAGAAAACUUAUUAGAAUAGAAGAAACAGUCAGUGAAAUCUUAGUGGAAUGCAACUCAAUUGAGGAGGAAAACAGAAACCUCGUGGUGACUUCUGAAUUCUUUAUUUGAUGAAGAAAUGGAGGAGGAGGAGGAGGAGGAAGAGGAGAAGAAAAGAAUUUCAUUCCAGACAAAGCUGUCUAAGGAAAAUAAUCACUGAUUCACAUGAGGCAGACACAGAAGAUGUUCAUGAUAACCACAAAAAGGGUAAAUGGUGGAAAAGGAAAUAAUGGUAAGUAUUUUACAGGAAUAGCAUGCCAACAUUUAAAAUAAUGUUUUCAAACAAUUUAUUAAAAAUGUGGGUUUCUCCUUACAAUGUUGAAGCUUGCAAUAUAGGAAAUUGUGCACAUAAGGACUGUUGCUGAUUAGGCAUAAAAAAUGGGAG